AAACUAAAUAGGAUUCUCUCAGUAAUGGCGAAUGAACAGGGAUAAGCUCGGCUUGGGAAUCAAGACCUCUGGUCUUGAAUUGUAGUCUGGAGAUGUGUUGCCAACGGAGGCGCAGGUGUAAGCCUCUUGAAAAAGAGCAUCAAAGAGGGUGAGAAUCCCGUGUUUCAUCUGUAGUCCCCUGUGUUCGGCGCGCAUUCUUAGAGUCACGCACCUCGGGAUUGGUGCGCAAAGCGGGUGGUAAAUUUCAUCUAAAGCUACAUAUAUGUUUGAGACCGAUAGCAAACAAGUACCAUGAGGGAAAGGUGAAAAGGACUUUGGAAAGAGAGUUAAAAGUGUUUGAAAUCGCUGAAACGGAAGCGAGUGGAGCCAGUUAGCCAUGGUGAGAUUGUUGCGCGCUAGUGUGAUGGUUUGUCGCUGUAGCGCAAGCACAGCGGUAGGCUUUGAUCAUUUGUGCGCAGUGCUUCUUGCUUUGCAUGUCACCGAUGAUGCGCAUGCGUUGAUAACCCCGAGUAGACGGUAUCUCGCCUCCGGGUGAGUGAAACUACUUGGCGGAACUCGUGUGUGCAUUAUUAGGCGGCGAAAUGGUUCCCCUCGACCCGUCUUGAAACACGGACCAAGGAGUCUAGCAUAUGUGCGAGUACCCGGGUGUGAAACCUGCAUGCGCAAUGAAAGUGAUUGCUGGGAUAUUUGCACCAGCAGCCGACUGAUCGAUUGAGAGAGGUUUGAGUAUGGGCACAUCUGCUAGGACCCGAAAGAUGGUGAACUAUGCCUGUGGAGGGCAAACUCAGGGGAAACUCUGAUGGAGGCUCGUAGCGGUACUGACGUGCAAAUCGUUCGUCACACAUGGGUAUAGGGGCGAAAGACUAAUCGAACCAUCUAGUA
rnacentral:rRNA from 1 species